GACGAACGCUGGCGGCGUGCUUAACACAUGCAAGUCGAACGGAAAGGCCCUGCUUUUGUGGGGUGCUCGAGUGGCGAACGGGUGAGUAACACGUGAGUAACCUGCCCUUGACUUUGGGAUAACUUCAGGAAACUGGGGCUAAUACCGGAUAGGAGCUCCUGCUGCAUGGUGGGGGUUGGAAAGUUUCGGCGGUUGGGGAUGGACUCGCGGCUUAUCAGCUUGUUGGUGGGGUAGUGGCUUACCAAGGCUUUGACGGGUAGCCGGCCUGAGAGGGUGACCGGCCACAUUGGGACUGAGAGACGGCCCAGACUCCUACGGGAGGCAGCGGUGGGGAAUAUUGCACAAUGGGCGGAAGCCUGAUGCAGCAACGCCGCGUGCGGGAUGACGGCCUUCGGGUUGUAAACCGCUUUCGCCUGUGACGAAGCGUGAGUGACGGUAAUGGGUAAAGAAGCACCGGCUAACUACGUG
rnacentral:rRNA from 1 species